GUGAACUACAGGUCAUCACAGCAUGAACACGGAUUACAAAAUGUUUGGACUUCAUCAUCAGCGUUUAGUUCUCGGUUCGCCACAGCUAACCAAGAUGUCACUGCGGGUCAAAAGGUCAAGGUCGGGAGGUCAGAGCGGGGCAGCUGGUAGCCCGGUGCUCUGGCUGUCCUCUGGAAGGACCGGGAGCACAUCUGUCUAAACAGUUGAGUCUCGCUGGUUUCACAUUUUGCACAAAGCAUAAAUCAGGGAGCUGCAGAAGCAUUAAUCUCCAUGGGAAAAGGAAGAUUCCAGCGCUGAGGAGGAUUCAACUGAAAAACAGGACACAACGGGUUGCAAUGGAUUGUGGGAGGUAGUAUUUAUGUGGACAGGGUGUUUGUGCCCUUUUUCUUUUAUGUAAAGCACAAGGAGUCAAGUGAAGUUUCUGAAUAAACGUCACUUGACUCCUUGUUUGCACUCUGACUCCCGUCAUUGAUCUUCCAGCGCUGAAGAAGCAGGGGACACAAUGCCAGAUCAGCCUCAGAGGCAUCGUCCACAAUGCUCUGUUAGCACGGCGAUAGCAUUGUGGAGAGCAGCGAAGAUCAUCGAUCAAGUCAAAUAUUUAUUUAGCUUCUCAGUAAGUGAGCGAGCGAGGUUUGAGUCACCUUUUGAGAGUUUUUUUUUUUUCAGUCUAUUCUAAUAGAAAGCGUUUAUCUGCUCUUUAUGUUAUAUAUUUCCAAACGAACGUGUAGGAUUUACAAGAUGAAUGAUGUGGGUGCAGGUAAAAACAAGUCCAGUUCUUUUUUCCAUGAAAUUUAAGGAAUUGAGGAAAUUCCAAAUUAUAUUUUGGGUGUGAAACCUCCCUGUCAUACACUCGUCAAAGUUUGAGUUUCUGAAUAAACUCCAGUGACACGGCUCUGACCUCCAGCCCAGCUGCAACUUAUCAGCACUAAACCAGUCUGUAAUUUCAGAAGCACGAAAAAGAAACUUACAAGAUCUGACAGUAGAUUAAAACACUGAAGACAUUUCAAAGCGAUCAGAGAUAUAAAAAAAAAAGAUAAACUGCACAGUUUCACUUCUGCAACAAAAAAACAACAAAACAGAGAUUCAUAUUCAUAUAACUGUUUCACUCUUCACUUUCACUUUGGCACCUUUUGUGGGGACAAAAUGGACCCAUUUUUGUUUCAGUUGCCCUCUUUAAGAUUUUAUUUAAUUCUUGUUUGAUCAUAUAUUUCCUUGAAGAUUUCACAUCUCAGUUUUUAUAUGGGAGUUAAGUAAAAGGUCCGUGUGAACUGUUCUCCAAACACAUCUUAAGUGUUUAUAGCUGUUCUGAAUGGGGGGAAAAAGUGAUCAAGUGUG